GCAAGUCGAGCGGGGAAGGUAGCUUGCUACUGGACCUAGCGGCGGACGGGUGAGUAAUGCUUAGGAAUCUGCCUAUUAGUGGGGGACAACAUUCCGAAAGGAAUGCUAAUACCGCAUACGUCCUACGGGAGAAAGCAGGGGACCUUCGGGCCUUGCGCUAAUAGAUGAGCCUAAGUCGGAUUAGCUAGUUGGUGGGGUAAAGGCCUACCAAGGCGACGAUCUGUAGCGGGUCUGAGAGGAUGAUCCGCCACACUGGGACUGAGACACGGCCCAGACUCCUACGGGAGGCAGCAGUGGGGAAUAUUGGACAAUGGGGGGAACCCUGAUCCAGCCAUGCCGCGUGUGUGAAGAAGGCCUUAUGGUUGUAAAGCACUUUAAGCGAGGAGGAGGCUACUGGUAUUAAUACUACUGGAUAGUGGACGUUACUCGCAGAAUAAGCACCGGCUAACUCUGUGCCAGCAGCCGCGGUAAUACAGAGGGUGCGAGCGUUAAUCGGAUUUACUGGGCGUAAAGCGUGCGUAGGCGGCCAUUUAAGUCAAAUGUGAAAUCCCCGAGCUUAACUUGGGAAUUGCAUUCGAUACUGGAUGGCUAGAGUAUGGGAGAGGAUGGUAGAAUUCCAGGUGUAGCGGUGAAAUGCGUAGAGAUCUGGAGGAAUACCGAUGGCGAAGGCAGCCAUCUGGCCUAAUACUGACGCUGAGGUACGAAAGCAUGGGGAGCAAACAGGAUUAGAUACCCUGGUAGUCCAUGCCGUAAACGAUGUCUACUAGCCGUUGGGGCCUUUGAGGCUUUAGUGGCGCAGCUAACGCGAUAAGUAGACCGCCUGGGGA
rnacentral:rRNA from 1 species